rnacentral:sRNA from 1 species
UAGCAUAGCAACAACAAGAACAACCAUAGACACAAGUCAUGCUAAGCAUCAACAACAACAGUACAAGGUCUUCUUUCUACCACUAUUAUCUGCUCUGUCAACUACUACUUUACUACUACUCUACUACUACUACUACUAUUCUACUACUAUCAACAACACUUCUAACGAGCAUUGAGAAACAUAAACAAAAUCAGCACGUCAAAAUGGACCGAAAUGCGAUUAAAUUUUAGCCUUCUCAUGAUCCUGCUGAGUAUGAAAGAAAUGGUGGCGUAAUCAAAGACAAAGCUCGCAGCUGCAAAACUUAACCGAAAGCGCAGCGUUUGCCAAACUCAACAUGUUGAGUGCUCUACAUACAAAUUCGUAUUCGUUGCUGCUAUUAGUCGUAACGUGCGACGAUCUUGACCAACAUGUAUUAAGUGCGCUAACCAUCAUGCAAAACUAUCGCCAACGAAAAUUGAAUACGCACACACAUAAAGAGUUACAUACACAUAUUUUAAAGUAUUGGCCCAUCAGCUGACUUUCAAUUUACACAGAUAUAUAUUUAAUUAUGUAUGUAUUUAAAAUGCGACUUUUGAAUAUUGUUUAUACAUGUUUAUAUAUACUACUGAAGACUUCAUACAUCAACAUUUACAUUAAUGUAUGUACAUAUUUUCAAAUCGGCGUUUUAUUUAUUUUAUUUUUUUGUAGACCCCGGUUUUAUUCCCCACACCACACGCACAUACACUUACAUGCCUAUCCGCCUCAGUCCAUACCCCCUCCCCCCUUUGCCUAAAAGAAACACCUAUCUAUCUAUCAACAGUUACGUUGUAUAUGUUUGUAAAUAUAUGCAUACAUACAUACACACAUGACUAUUGAAAAUACUCGAAAAAUACUCACAUGCAUACAGCAUAUGCAUAUAUUUCGUAUGUAUAUAUGCAAGUAAGUAUAUCGAUAUAUCGAUAAUUCUCUCAACUAGUAGAAUAAUUUUUUAACUAGUUUUAAUCACAAAAAAAAUCAACACUUAAAAUUAACUUAACUCUCAACAUGUAUUUCUCUUCUUCCCCCACUUAUUUUUGUCUUUAUUUU